rnacentral:rRNA from 1 species
CAAGGGUUGGGCUGUUCGCCCAUUAAAGCGGUACGCGAGCUGGGUUUAGAACGUCGUGAGACAGUUCGGUCCCUAUCCUCUGCAGCCGGAGGAAAUUUGAGGAAGGCUAUCCCUAGUACGAGAGGACCGGGAUGGACGUAGCUCUAGUGUGCCAGUUGUCCUGCCAAGGGCACGGCUGGUUGGCUACCUACGGAAGGGAUAAGCGCUGAAAGCAUCUAAGUGCGAAACCCGUUCCAAGAUGAGAUUUCCCACUGGGUUAACCAGGUAAGGCCUGUGGUAGACCACCACGUUGAUAGGCCGGAGGUGUACGUGCGGUAACGCAUUCAGCCGACCGGUACUAAUCGGCCGAGGGCUUGGAUC